rnacentral:miRNA from 1 species
AACACCAUCAAUGUUGUGUUUAUGACGUCGAUAUACGACGUCAUAAACACCAUCAAGUUUGGUGUUUAUGACGUCGACAUACGACGUCAUAAACACUGUCCAGUUUGGUGUUUAUGUCGUCGAUAUUCGACGUCAUAAACUGUAUCAAGUUUGGUGUUUAUGACAUCGGUAUUCGACGUCAUAAGCACCAUCAAGCUUGGUGUUUAUGGCGUCGAUAUACGACGUCAUAAACACCAUCAAGUUUGGUGUU